rnacentral:misc_RNA from 1 species
UCUCCGUAGGUGAACCUGCGGAGGGAUCAUUACUGAGUGAGGGCUUCGGUCCGACCUCCAACCCUUUGUGAACCAAUCUUGUUGCUUCGGGGGCGACCCUGCCGCUUCGGCGGUGCGGCGCCCCCGGAGGCCAUUAAACACUGCAUCAGUGCGUCGGAGUUAAAGUAAAUUAAACAAAACUUUCAACGACGGAUCUCUGGGUUCCAGCAUCGAUGAAGAACGCAGC